UAAGACGAAAAGGCUGCUGGGAAGGUUACCUCCACCCCUCUCCCUAUGAGAAGGAAAAUCUUGGAGAAACGGGGAGAGGCGGGGAAUCCCACGUGUUGUGGAAAGUUGGACUGAAUAAAAGGACAGAGCUGACCGAGCAGAAAAGGUGGAAUCCCACUCUCUGGCUAACCUGCCACCCUGUUGCCAGCCGGAAUGCUGAAGAAACCCCCUCCCCCAAGUGCCUGAAUUUCCCCCAUUAGAUAUUGAAUCACAGAACUUCGGAAUUGGAAGGGACCUCACAUUCCAUAGUCAAUAAAUUAGCCAGCAGUUAUUAGCGAUCCGCUGUAUGUUUGCUCGGUGAUGGACCAACUCCUAUCGGAAUGAGAAGACCUCAACAAAGGCUCUGACAAGUGUUUAUCCAGUCUUCGAAAACUUCUAGUGAGGGGGAAUUUACUUCUGGAGGCAACCCAUUUUUAGCCAAAGGAAAAACACCAAAUGAAAAAAAAAAUCCUAUUGUCAAUAACGAUGAAAAAAAAUGCCCCAAAGCAUCACUGAUAAGUGGAAGUCAACUUCACCGGGCAAAUUUUCAAAGUUGACAAAAGUUGGAAAUAGGGAAUGGCUCUCUGAAAGAGAGAAGGAAGGAAUAGAGAGGUAAAUCUGGGCAAUGUAAAAACAAAACUUAUCAAUAAAAAUACAUUUAAAAAGAAGGCA
rnacentral:lncRNA from 1 species